GAUGAACGCUGACAGAAUGCUUAACACAUGCAAGUCAACUUGAACUUCGGUUUGGGUGGCGGACGGGUGAGUAACGCGUAAAGAACUUGCCUCACAGCUAGGGACAACAUUUGGAAACGAAUGCUAAUACCUGAUAUUAUGAUUAUAUGGCAUCGUAUAAUUAUGAAAGCUAUAUGCGCUGUGAGAGAGCUUUGCGUCCCAUUAGCUAGUUGGAGAGGUAACAGCUCACCAAGGCGAUGAUGGGUAGCCGGCCUGAGAGGGUGAUCGGCCACAAGGGGACUGAGACACGGCCCUUACUCCUACGGGAGGCAACAGUGGGGAAUAUUGGACAGUGGACCGAGAGUCUGAUCCAGCAAUUCUGUGUGCACGAUGAAGUUUUUCGGAAUGUAAAGUGCUUUCAGUUGGGAAGAAAAAAAUGACGGUACCAACAGAAGAAGUGACGGCUAAAUACGUG
rnacentral:rRNA from 1 species